rnacentral:lncRNA from 1 species
UCCGAACCUGGGACCCACCUGCUGGCUCAGGACUGCUGGAAGUAAAGAAUCCCUGCCCUGGUUGCUGACCACGUGAGUCCCCUCCAUCAUGGACCCUGCUCCUGCAUCCUGCACCGGUGUCACAAAGAUUUCUUCUCUGUCUUCUCAUCUGUGCUUCUGCAGGCCAGGGUGGGGAUGGCCCUGGAAGAUACUUGAGGAAACCGGCAGAGCCUCUGGGAGCCUGGGUCCCUGUGGUCCCAUCCUCUGCUGACCAGAACCUGUACAGACCAC